rnacentral:lncRNA from 1 species
GGCCAGUGGUUGUUCCCUGCAUUCAAUAUGCGAUGGGAUCGAUUUUUUCUGCUUUCACUUUUCUCCUUGCCUAAAACAUAAUUACAACAGUAUUUUAAUCUACAGGCUGGACACAGAUUAAGAACAUUGUGUCAACCGAAAUAGCAUUAACUUAAUAAAGAUCAUUGAUGGUAACAUGCUGUUUUGCUUCUUCUUGCAGGGUGAGGACAGCAUGAACAUCCCUAAGUGUGCCUCUGGGCAUAUUCAGCCAUUCGCUUUUGAUUAGAGGAAAGAAGAGGGCCAUCCACUUGAAAGGCAAAGCUGCAGUGACGAAAGGAGUGGUGUAAUUUUUGAAUUUCAAGAACAGUGAAGUAGGCGAUGGCAGCGAGCGUAUAAAAGGACACGUACACCAUUAAGUUCUUUGGAAUACACAAAAGUAUCUGACUAGAAAGCUUAUGAAAUAGAAGACAAGAUCCUGCCUCAGGAAGCGUACAUGAGAAUAAUUUUAAAGGAACCCAGCGAUAAAUGCAAAACAGUAGCUGUUGGAGGUGAUGGAAAUGUACAGGAACAGUGGGAGAAGCCGGUAACUUAUAGGAAGCCAAGAUGACAAGAAUUUUAAAAAAUAAUCAGACACACACAGUUUGUACAGAGAGCACCUUUGUAAAGUUGAGAAACAGCGCUCCCCAUCAUCAGUUGUAGUAUACUCCCUCUCCUGCAUUGAAGAGGCCAACCUUCAUCAGAGGUUAGUACUUUAAAUAAGGCAUUUAAAUAAGGUACUUAGGGUUAACCAACUUGACCC